UGGGGAAUAUUGGACAAUGGGCGCAAGCCUGAUCCAGCCAUGCCGCGUGAGUGAUGAAGGCCCUAGGGUUGUAAAGCUCUUUCGCCAGGGACGAUAAUGACGGUACCUGGAUAAGAAGCCCCGGCUAACUUCGUGCCAGCAGCCGCGGUAAUACGAAGGGGGCUAGCGUUGUUCGGAAUCACUGGGCGUAAAGCGCACGUAGGCGGAUCUUUAAGUCAGGGGUGAAAUCCCGAGGCUCAACCUCGGAACUGCCUUUGAUACUGGAGGUCUCGAGUCCGGGAGAGGUGAGUGGAACUGCGAGUGUAGAGGUGAAAUUCGUAGAUAUUCGCAAGAACACCAGUGGCGAAGGCGGCUCACUGGCCCGGUACUGACGCUGAGGUGCGAAAGCGUGGGGAGCAAAACAGGAUUAGAUACCCUGGUAGUCCACGCCGUAAACUAUGGAUGCUAGCCGUUGGGCAGCUUGCUGUUCAGUGGCGCAGCUAACGCUUUAAGCAUCCCGCCUGGGGAGUACGGUCGCAAGAUUAAAACUUAAAUGAAUUGACGGGGUCAUAGCUGUUUCCU
rnacentral:rRNA from 1 species